rnacentral:rRNA from 1 species
AGCGGCGAACGGGUGAGUAACACGUAGGUGAUCUGCCCAUCAGACGGGGACAACGAUUGGAAACGAUCGCUAAUACCGGAUAGGACGAAAGCUUAAAGGUGCUUCUGGCACCGCUGAUGGAUGAGCCUGCGGCGCAUUAGCUAGUUGGUAGGGUAAAGGCCUACCAAGGCGACGAUGCGUAGCCGACCUGAGAGGGUGAACGGCCACACUGGGACUGAGACACGGCCCAGACUCCUACGGGAGGCAGCAGUAGGGAAUCUUCGGCAAUGGGCGAAAGCCUGACCGAGCAACGCCGCGUGAAUGAUGAAGGCCUUCGGGUUGUAAAAUUCUGUUAUAAGGGAAGAACGACUUUAGUAGGAAAUGGCUAGAGUGUGACGGUACCUUAUGAGAAAGCCACGGCUAACUACGUGCCAGCAGCCGCGGUAAUACGUAGGUGGCGAGCGUUAUCCGGAAUUAUUGGGCGUAAAGAGCGCGCAGGUGGUUGAUUAAGUCUGAUGUGAAAGCCCACGGCUUAACCGUGGAGGGUCAUUGGAAACUGGUCGACUUGAGUGCAGAAGAGGGAAGUGGAAUUCCAUGUGUAGCGGUGAAAUGCGUAGAGAUAUGGAGGAACACCAGUGGCGAAGGCGGCUUCCUGGUCUGUAACUGACACUGAGGCGCGAAAGCGUGGGGAGCAAACAGGAUUAGAUACCCUGGUAGUCCACGCCGUAAACGAUGAGUGCUAAGUGU